CAUUUUAAAUUCACAUUCUUCUGUAAUCCUUUAAAAUUACCAACCAUCAUAUGCCACAAAAGAGUAAAGUGAAAAGUUUCAAUCUCUGCUUGGGAAAAUAAAGAAGACAGGUUGCUCAUAGGUUUCAACUGUAAGUCCAAAUAGUUAAAUCGAAACUUAGUCCAUUAUUAAGUGACUAACACAAUCGUUUGUAAUUUGUUUUGUCACCAUAAAAGAACAACAGCCAUAGAAAUUAAUCCAUAAAAAUGAAAAUCGUUAAGAGAUCUUAAAAUAAAGAAAAAAACAAGACAGGAAAAAAGAAGAUUAUUUG
rnacentral:lncRNA from 1 species